GAAAUGUCAUCAACAACAAAGCUGUAUAACUCAUCAAUAUCUAUAACUUCUAUUUUGGUCGUUUCUUCAUCCGACAAAGUGAUAGUAACAUUGCUCAUAAAAUUUACAUCUCUCUCUUAUAGUUUAUAUCUGUUAUAGUUUUAUAAAUUUUGUGAGCAAUGUUACUAUCACUUUGUCGGAUGAAGAAACGACCAAAAUAGAAGUUAUAGAUAUUGAUGAGUUAUACAGCUUUGUUGUUGAUGACAUUUC
rnacentral:pre_miRNA from 1 species